rnacentral:lncRNA from 1 species
UCGGUGCUGAUGAAGCAGCUAUCCGACCCCUCUUCGACAGUCGGGAGGUCCAGCUUCGGAUGCUGCCUUCUUCUUGGCAACAUGCUGACGAAUAUCGACGGUCGAUACUCAUGUCCUCAACUGCAUAGCUGCAAUCAAAAUAAAAAAAUCAGUAUAGUUCAGAAAUAAACAAAAGAAAAAUAAAAGUGAUCGAUUAAGAUAUACCUAAGGAAGUGAUCGAACUAAGACCGACAUCGUAGAGAGCUUGUUCGAUCAUCAGCACUCUCUGUGGCGGUACUGUCAUAUCCUUUAGCCAGUGAAAAUCCUUCUGAUCGUCGACCUCCACCUGACUAUUCUCAUUGGGGCCGAUCCUUGGAUCAUCCCAACGUGAAGGAAAGCCCCAAGGAAGAGAAGAAGAAGCAAAAAAGAAUUGGUUCUUUCAUCCAUGAAUGGAUGAUGGAAGAUCGGUGAUGAAGGAAAAACCUUUUCUUGGGUUGAAGAACCACCAAUCCUUGGCCUUAGGAUGGGGACGAAAAAUAAAGAAAGUGCUAAAAAGAGAAGGAUAAGGUUCAGUCGGUAUUAACUGACAUAGCAAAGCAAAAGUAAUUAUCAGUCGGAUCGAAUUCGAUGCCAGCUGAGCAGGACAA